GGAAGAGUGAGGAGUUUAUAAGAUGAGAGACCCAUUAACUUGACACCUUAAGGUUUUGAGUUGGAUGUGGUGUCUUCUCAUCUUAUGUUCUCUCACUUGAUUCCUCCCCGAAUUCUCCCCGGUUGUCGAGAGCUCCCCAUGGUUGGCCCAACACUUUCCUGAGAUACUCAAUGC